AGCCAGUCCUGCUUCAAAAACCUCAGUAACUGCACACUCAUAUUCUCCUGUGCUGUACUUGUAUUUCCUAAGCAUUUCUGCUACCAGUAGUCAUGAAAAAUCAGCACAGAAAGAUGUCAAAACUAAAGAACUCCCUUGGCCUUCAGGAAUUCAAAGUCCAGAUAUUUUUAUUUCGCAUGAACUCUCUGAAGCUGGGAGGAGAACUGCUGGGGGAAGGAGAGAGGCUGCAUUUCUGAAAUUCUUUCUUUGUGAAUCAGCAGAUAGUGCUUCUGGAGCUGGGAAUGUUUCCUCUUGGACCGACUCCAUCUCCUUUUUUGGUCUGCAAACGCUUGAGGUUAAUGGUUGGGGUUGAAGAAGUUGAAGCACAUGGUAGUGCUUUGAAUAUGAAAAGAGGAAUUUGCACAAUAUGGGUGCAUUAGUCAUUUGCAGUUCACUAAUUAUCUGUUUUAUGUUAAUGCUAAUGCUCCAUGUAAGUAAAGUAAAUUAACACGAUAACAUAAAAGAAGCAAUUAAUGGAAUAUAUAACAUUUGUAGCUUUAAUAAAACCGAUUUCAUUCCACACACAGAGAAAGCGGCUAUUUAGGUCUCUGAAAUAAAUGAGGAGCUUGCUGAAACCUUGCUGCUCUAAGUAACA